rnacentral:lncRNA from 1 species
GUUUAAAUACGUCAUAGUUCGGCCUAACUUCGCGUGACGUCACUUUUUAGUUAAAUCGACUGUCCGCGGAGAGUGAACGGUUCUUUUCAAUUGAUGUAUGGGGAUGAAAAAAGAAGGCCUCUCCCAAGCUACGGUGUCCCGCCUUGUGAAGUCCAUCUCAAUAGCCAAUGCCAGGAGAUCGGACCAAUACAUCUCAAUUCCUUCAACAAGAGAGGCAGUCCUGCAGAGUGCAGACCCAACAUGAAUUUUAUAAUUACUGCCAUUUCCCUGGCGUUAAUAUGGUCGGUGCUAUUGAUUGCACCCACAUAGGCGUCUUCAAGCCAGUUGGCCCAACACCAGUUAUUUCCUGAACAGGAAAAAUAGAUACUCCAUUUUUCUUGGAAAGUCUGCUGGAUGAUGUUCUUCUUCAGUAAAAUAAAUGAAGGCAAAUUCCCUGAUAAUUGAGACAAAUUCAGAGAGAGGAAGGAGAACUACUGAGCUGCUGAAUUUCUGACAGACAUACUUGCAAGGACUAUGAAGUUCUACUUAGCCUCCUCAAUGAACCAGACUCUAUCUGCUGUAACUGUGACUGCAUGGGAAUCAAAACCUUUGUAUUAUGAUCCUCAUAACAUGAAGCUAACAAACAAGCAACCAUUGAUAAAAAGCCUGAUAUGUCCUUGUUGUGUGUGUGAACCACAAAGCAACCAUCGCUCAUAAGGAUGUUUUUAUAUACAUCAGAUGUUCAUUGUUUCACUGGAAAAAUUGUGAUUUUUGAGUUAUUUAAGAAAUCAUGUUUUAUAAUGUGUUUUAUAAUAUAGUGCAAGUCAUGAUAUAACAGAUUCCCUGCAAAAGAAAGACGGCUCAAAGGAAGACUAUGCUUUGUUUUUAAAAAUGGGAAAAAGUAAUGUAACAAAUGCAUAACUUUGAAUUCUAAUAAUUUCAAAUAGCAGAUUAUGAGGCUAUUGGAGCUUAAUAUUUGACCUUCAAUUUUAUAAUCGUAUUCAUCGUGAAUUACAAUCUUUUCUGUUUUAAGAAAAAUAAAUAAA